AGCUAGCUAGACAACAGACUGCUAUUCCCUAAUUCCACUCCUGGUACAAUCUUCCUUCCCUCCUGCCCCUCUCUUUAUGUUAAUUCCUCCCACCAAACCCACCCACACAAGCCAAAGCAAGAGGCCCUAGACACUGCGGAUGUGGUGGGGCCAGGAACCUGGCUGAUACGUGUUCCCUGGUAACACCGAGGCAGGGAGAGGAAGAGCUUAUGGGUGAGGAGCUAGGCUCUCAGGAAGGAACGUACCCAUUGCUGCUGGUGGCUGGGUGUGAACAGGCACCUCGGUGCCACUAUACAUCUGCUCAUGUACCAGCCAAUAGCCACAAGGAUGAGAACACACACACACAGAGGCAUCGACUGGGGACAAACUCAAGCACACUGUGAAUCAUAGCUUGUGAGUGUGUGUGAUAAACCUGACAGCAUCCUAGACACAUCCCCCACGCUCAUAUACCUGAUGGCGGGAGGUGUGCAAGGAGAGCAGGCAGGGCUGGCACUUCACUCCUGCUGAGGGCACAUGUGUUUGUGUUCACAUACACGGGGAUGAUGGUGCUAGUGGUCUCUGCCUGGAGAACGGUGGGCAGAAGUUGGGGUAGGUUGGUGUCAGGAGCUGGGAUGACAUCCCCAGCGUGACCCCCAUCCUUGGCAGCUAUGAACCUGGGUACAGGCAUGGAAUGAGUAGCUCUCUGGAUAUGUGGGUGUGCAGGUGUGCAUGAAUGUAGUGACAGGGACACUAGGCGUGCAUGGCAGGGAGUGUGCAAGGAAACCAUGUCCCUAAGUGUGUGUAUCUGUGUGCCAGCUCUGAGGAUGAGUUAUGUACAGAGAGGGAAUGAGUGAUUCCCAGUGUGAGAGCCAGAGCCAGGCAAUGGAGCAGCAGGAACAGGGACCAGAGGGGGUGGGGGCACUGGCAAGCAGGACCGACCAGGGGGAGCAUGAAAGAGGGGUGUGUGAGAACAGCUGUGAAGGGCUGAGUGUGUGUGUGUGUGUGUGUGUGUGUGUGUGUGUGUGUGUGUGUGAAAGACACAGAGACGAAAGAGACUGGCAUCCAAGAUACACGAAGACCAUCUCCAACCAGCUGGCUGGCCGGGCCAGCUCCCCAGAAGGCAGCCCUUCUCCCCCCGCCCCCCUCCAGUUCUUCCUUAGACAGGGACACCUCUCCCCUCUAGCAACCCUCUCCCUGUCACUUUGAUUUGGUGGGAAGAAGAAUCCAGUAGCCCCCGAAGAAAAGGAGAACAAGAACAAAGUGGGGCUCAGUCUGUCUGGCCUUGGGAUGAAGACCAGCUUCAGGGCCCUGAGUCCAUCCCGAGGAAUAGCCCUGGCCCCUGAACCUUGAACACUGCAGCAGCAGCAGCAGCAGCAGCAGAAGAGGAGGAGAAGGAGCUGUGCCACGGGGUUACUUCGGUCUGGGACUCUGCCAAGAAAGUGGGAGCUGCCCCCUAGUCUCCCCCAGCAUCCACCACUGCCCUGAUAUCCUGUCUGAAUUCCGCGCUAUCGGCUGAGCGCUCAGGGUCAAGCUGUCUCCACAGCAUGCUGACCUCCAUCGUGAUACCUCCCCCUGCCCCCCAACUUCAGCCUCUUGGCUGUGUGCCUGGUUCCUACCUGCAAAGUGGCUCCAUGGAGGACAAUGCUCUCUCGCAGACGCACACCCUCGCCUAUGGU